rnacentral:rRNA from 1 species
UACGUAGGGCGCAAGCGUUGUCCGGAAUUAUUGGGCGUAAAGAGCUCGUAGGCGGCCAGUUGCGUCUGCUGUGAAAUCCCGGGGCUCAACCCCGGGCGUGCAGUGGAUACGGGCUGGCUAGAGGCAGGCAGGGGAGAACGGAAUUCCCGGUGUAGCGGUGAAAUGCGCAGAUAUCAGGAGGAACACCGGUGGCGAAGGCGGCACUCUGGGCCGGUACUGACGCUGAGGAGCGAAAGCGUGGGGAGCGAACAGG